UUAGGGUUUAGAUUUAGGUUAAUUGAAAGUGUUUUUUAUAGCAAUUGGUUUAUAGCGUUUAUAGACAUAAUUUUUUGGUUUUAUUGUUUGAAUUGGGAUGUAGCCAUACUAAACUGUAUUCAUUAAUACAUAUACUAUAUCCUUGAAAAAUUAAUGCAAGUAAACCAUUUCUUUGUAAACAUAAAAUUUGGUCUUCUAUUAACAAAAUGGAAAGAAAAGAGAAAAUCGAAGAUACAGUAACAAAUAUCAAGGAUGAGAAUACUAUUUUUGUCAAGCCUGAAUUCAUAAAAGUAGAGCCUGCUCCAGGUUAUCUAGACCCCUAUAUUGAAGACCAAUGGCAAGGAGAUUCUGAUAUUAGUUUGAACCAAAUUAAAACAGAAUUACCAAUGGACGAUAUGACAUUUGAACAGCACCAAGGUGAUUUAGCACAAUUCCAGUAUUAUAAUAGUGUUGUUGAUAAUAUAAAACUAGAGCAUACUGCUAAAGGAAGUCAAAGCAGUGAAUAUGAUAGCUUCAAAAAUGAAAUUAAAGAGGAUUUCAAUAGAGAAAGUAUAUGUGAUGCAUUUGAUGAUUCAGGCUUAAAUGAACACUCGUUAAAAAUUGAAAUAGAAGAUGAAAAAAAACUUAUGCCAUAUGGAGAAAAACAAACACACAAAGAAGGCUAUCUGCAAGAUGGAAACAAAGUGCCAGUUAUGGAGAAACUCAUCGAAGAUUCAUCUUACAAAGGAAAUGAUAUGAGUGGACAAACUGAAUCAAAAACAUUAAGAAAAAAUAUAAAAGCUACGACUGAAAAAAGACCUUACAAAUGUGAAAUUUGUUUUAAGAAGUGUACUACAGCAAGUAAUUUGAAAGUACAUUUGAGAGUGCACACCGGGGAAAAACCGUAUAGAUGUGAAACUUGUUUCAAGCAGUUUUUUACUACAAGUGAUAUGAAAAGACAUUUGAGAGUGCACGCCGGAGAAAAACCUUACAAGUGUGAAAUUUGUUUGAAGCAGUUUAUUCAAGCAGAUAAGUUGAAAAGACAUUUGAGAGUGCACACUGGAGAAAAACCUUACAAGUGUGAAAUUUGUUUAAAGCAGUUUAGCCAAGCAAGUCAUUUCAAAACACAUUUGAGAGUGCACACUGGAGAAAAACCAUACAAGUGUGAAAUUUGUUUUAAACGAUUUAGUGUAGAAGGAAGUUUGAAUAUACAUUUCAGAACGCACACUGGAGAAAAACCUCACCAGUGUGAAAUUUGUUUAAAGCUGUUUUCUGAUGCAAGUAGUUUAAAAAAACAUUUGAAAGUGCAUACUGGAGAAAAGAGUUACAUGUGUGAAAUUUGUUUAAAGCAAUUUAUUAGAAUAAGUGAUUUGAAAAAGCAUUUGAGGUCCCACACUGGAGAAAAACCGUACAAGUGUGAAAUUUGUUUUAAACAGUUUAGUGAAUCAGGUAGUUUGAAAACACAUUUGAGAGUGCACACUGGUGAAAAACCUUAUAAGUGUGAAAUUUGUUUAAAGCAGUUUAGCCAAGCAAGUCAUUUCAAAACACAUUUGAGAGUGCACACUGGAGAAAAACCAUACAAGUGUGAAAUUUGUUUUAAACGAUUUAGUGUAAAAGGAAAUUUGAAUCUACAUUUGAGAACGCACACUGGAGAAAAACCUCACCAGUGUGAAAUUUGUUUCAAGCUGUUUUCUGAUGCAAGUGGUUUAAAAACACAUUUGAAAGUGCAUACUGGAGAAAAGAGUUACAUGUGUGAAAUUUGUUUCAAGCUGUUUUCUGAUGCAAGUGGUUUAAAAACACAUUUGAAAGUGCAUACUGGAGAAAAGAGUUACAUGUGUGAAAUUUGUUUAAAGCAGUUUAGCCACGCAAGUCCUUUCAAAACACAUUUGAGAGUGCACACUGGAGAAAAACCAUACAAGUGUGAAAUUUGUUUUACACAAUUUAGUGUAGAAGGAAGUUUGAAAAGACAUUUGAGAACGCACACUGGAGAAAAACCUUACAAGUGUGAAAUUUGUUUGAAGCAAUUUAGUCAAGCAGGUACUUUGAAAACACAUUUGAGAGUGCACAAUGAAUAAAAACCUUACAAGUGUGAAAUUCUUUCAAGCAGUUUAUUACUACAAGUCAUUUGAACAGUGGCGCACCGAGAAUUUUCCUCUGGGAGGAGUUGGCUUGAACACCGAAUUUUUUUUGUAUUGUUUGUGAAAAACAAGUUACAUUUUCCUGUAGGCGAGGAUAUAAAGCAUUACGUUAUGAAACCUUUUGCGUUUGAUUCGGGAGAGCAUUAGGAAAAUUCUUGAAUGCUCGGCAUGAGGCUGUCUGCAAGAUGGAAACAAAGUGCCAGUUAUGGAGAAACUCAUCGAAGAUUCAUCUUACAAAGGAAAUGAUAUAAGUGGACAGACUGAAUUAAAAACAUCAAGAAAAAAUAUGAAAGCUAUGACUGG
rnacentral:misc_RNA from 1 species